rnacentral:misc_RNA from 1 species
GAUGAAGAACGCAGCGAAAUGCGAUAAGUAAUGUGAAUUGCAGAAUUCAGUGAAUCAUCGAAUCUUUGAACGCACAUUGCGCCCCCUGGUAUUCCGGGGGCAUGCCUGUUCGAGCGUCAUUUCACCACUCAAGCCUCGCUUGGUAUUGGGCAACGCGGUCCGCCGCGUGCCUCAAAUCGACCGGCUGGGUCUUCUGUCCCCUAAGCGUUGUGGAAACUAUUCGCUAAAGGGUGUUCGGGAGGCUACGCCGUAAAACAACCCCAUUUCUAAGGUUGACCUCGGAUCAGGUAGGGAUACCCGCUGAACUUAAGCAUAUCAAUUAAGCGGAGGA